CACGACCAGUGGGAGGGGUGCGGGGGAAUGGGGAGGGGUCAAGGGUUGUCCGGUUUUAUUGGGGGGAAAGGGUUGGUCGGGGGUUGGUUGCGUCGUCCGUGAAAUUCCAUGGCGGAGCUGUGGGAGUGCGGGCGAUACGGGCGGGCUGGAGGGCGGUAGGGGAGACUGGAAUUCCUGGUGUAGCGGUGAAAUGCGCAGAUAGCAGGAGGAACACCGGUGGCGAAGGCGGGUCUCUGGGCCGAUACUGACGCUGAGGAGCGAAAGCGUGGGGAGCGAACAGGAUUAGAUACCCUAGUAGUC
rnacentral:rRNA from 1 species